UUUUUCCCGUUUUCCCCCCGUUUUUGCUCACCUCUCCUCCUCUGGCAGAAGCAGACGGCCACGAGCAGCCCCAGGAGCAGCGCGGCGGCGGCGGCGACGCAACCGGCCACCAGCGGGACGGGCAGAGCCGGGGCUGUCCAAAAAACCCCCAAAACACCCCAAAAAAAAAGGAAUCGGAGCGGAGUUUGGGGAUGGAUUUGGAAAACUGGGGUCCUCCGACCGCUCCUCGAGGUGGAUUUUUGGGAAUCGAGGUUCCUCCAACUGCUCCUCAAGGUGGGUUUUUGGGGAACUGAGGUUCCUCCAAUGACUUUUUGAGGUGGAUUUUGGGGAACUGAGGUUCCUCCAGUGGCUUCUUGGGGUCAAUUUUGGGGAAAAAAGGUUCAUCCAACAAUUUCUUGAGGUUGAUUUUUGGGAACUGAGGUUCCUCCAACCCCCCCCCAAGGUGGAUUUUUGGGACCCAAGGACCCUCCAAUGACUUCUUGGGGUCAAUUUUGGGAACCGAAGUUCCUCCAAUGACUUUUUGAGGUGGAUUUUUGGGAACUGAGGUCCCUCCAAUGACUUUUUGAGGUGGAUUUUUGGGGGAACUGAGGUUCCUCCAAUGACUUUUUGAGGUGGAUUUUGGGGAACUGAUGUUCCUCCAACGACUUCUUGGGGUCAAUUUUGGGAGCUGAGGUUCCUCCAACGACUUUCUUGGGGUCAAUUUUGGGGAAAAAAGGUUCGUCCAACAAUUUCUUGAGGUUGAUUUUUGGGAACUGAGGUUCCUCCAACC
rnacentral:lncRNA from 1 species